GCAAUAAUAGCUUAAUUAAGAGCAUUGGUCUUGUAAGCCAAAAGUGAGUAGUUUAAACUCUUAUUGCU
rnacentral:tRNA from 1 species